UACGUAGGGUGCAAGCGUUAAUCGGAAUUACUGGGCGUAAAGAGCUCGUAGGCGGUCCGUCACGUCGGCUGUGAAAACCCGGGGCUCAACUCCGGGCCUGCAGUCGAUACGGGCGGACUAGAGUACUGCAGGGGAGACUGGAAUUCCUGGUGUAGCGGUGAAAUGCGCAGAUAUCAGGAGGAACACCGGUGGCGAAGGCGGGUCUCUGGGCAGUAACUGACGCUGAGGAGCGAAAGCGUGGGGAGCGAACAGG
rnacentral:rRNA from 1 species